GUUGAUGAAGUAUAGUACUUCAAGACCAAAUGAUGUCGUUGGUCAUAUAAUAUAUACACAUAGAAAAUGUGUUUCUACAGUACCAGAUGUAAUAAAUUGCAGUCGUAUCUUAUCGAUGGAGUCAAAUGAUGUUUUGAGAGUCUUGAAUAUAUCAUCAACACACUUGAGAUGAUAUGAUAUAUUUUGCUAGACCAUCUUGGUUCCAACAUAUAUG
rnacentral:lncRNA from 1 species